rnacentral:rRNA from 1 species
CCCCUAGAUGUUCUGGGCCGCACGCGCGCUACACUGAACAGUUCAACAAGUCUUAACCUUGGCCGAUAGGUCUGGGUAAUCUUUGAACGCUGUUCGUGAUUGGGAUAGACCUUUGCAAUUAUGGGUCUUCAACGAGGAAUUCCUAGUAAACGCAAGUCAUCAGCUUGCAUUGAUUACGUCCCUGCCCUUUGUACACACCGCCCGUCACACCUACCGAUUGAAUGGUCCGGUGAAAUCUCGGGACGGCGGCUUGGUCGCUUGCGUCCGACUGCUGAAACUUGAUUAAACCAUAUCAUUUCCAGGAAGGUGAAGUCGUAACA